CGCAGUAACCUCUUUGCUAUCUUAGCCCUGAGUUGACAAGUAUUGAUCUUGUUAUCUCCUGGUUAACGGCCAAU
rnacentral:tRNA from 1 species